rnacentral:rRNA from 1 species
AAGACCUUGCACUUUUGGAGCGGCCGAUGUCUGAUUAGCUAGUUGGUGGGGUAAUGGCCUACCAAAGCUUCGAUCAGUAGCUGGUCUGAGAGGACGGCCAGCCACACUGGGACUGAGACACGGCCCAGACUCCUACGGGAGGCAGCAGUGGGGAAUUUUGGACAAUGGGCGCAAGCCUGAUCCAGCCAUGCCGCGUGAGUGAAGAAGGCCUUCGGGUUGUAAAGCUCUUUCAGUCGGGAAGAAAAGGUUGCGACUAAUAAUCGCAAUUCAUGACGGUACCGAAAGAAGAAGCACCGGCUAACUACGUGCCAGCAGCCGCGGUAAUACGUAGGGUGCGAGCGUUAAUCGGAAUUACUGGGCGUAAAGCGUGCGCAGGUGGUUUUGUAAGUCAGAUGUGAAAUCCCCGGGCUUAACCUGGGAACU